AGGAUGCCAUGGAAUCUCGGCAAGUCCUGUCAGAAAAUAGGAAGCCAGUUGGCCGUGGAAUAACACUUCAGCAGAAAGGAAGCCUCAUGCCAGAAAGACUAGAAAACAGGAAGCCGGUUGGGCGUGGAAUGACACUCCAGCAGAGAGGAGCCUUCAUGCCACAAAAGCUAGGAAAUCCAUAUGCACCGUGUAGCAUCUUAGAU